AGGUCCUUCGCAUUUCCAUAUAAAUUUUAGGAGUGACUUGUCAAUUUUUACACAAAAGCCUGCUGAGCUUUUGAUAAAGACUGUGGAAGCCUCCAUAAAAACCCAAAAGGACAGCAUUCAGAAAGCUUCUGCGGUGGUGAACAUGUGGAGAUUCGGGGAGAACGGUGCAUGGAAGCUCCACGCCCUUUCUCCAUACCUUGCCCCAUGCAUCUAGUUCAUCUGACUGUUCCUGAGUUAUACCAUUUUACUAAGAAACCAGUGGUCCAAUAAGAUCAGUUUUGUACUAGAAAUCCGGGAAGAAGGAAACAGCAGUAAGAGGGAGCCGAAGGGCAAAACCGAUGAAGACAUCUUCAGGUAUCACCUACCAACUCAGUUAGUUCAGCUCUCCUGUCUCAGAGGCACUGCAGCCCGGGGGCUGAGGGAAUUGCAGACGAAAUUGCUGAGCAGCUGCCAAUACCCACAAAGCCAG
rnacentral:lncRNA from 1 species